UACGAAGGGUGCAAGCGUUACUCGGAAUUACUGGGCGUAAAGCGUGCGUAGGUGGUUUGUUAAGUCUGAUGUGAAAGCCCUGGGCUCAACCUGGGAACUGCAUUGGAAACUGGCUUACUAGAGUGCGGUAGAGGGGUGUGGAAUUCCCGGUGUAGCAGUGAAAUGCGUAGAUAUCGGGAGGAACACCAGUGGCGAGGGCGGCACUCGUGGCCGGAACUGACGCUGAGGAGCGGAAAGCGUGGGAGCGAACGAGG
rnacentral:rRNA from 1 species